rnacentral:rRNA from 1 species
CCUACGGGGGGCUGCAGUGGGGAAUAUUGGACAAUGGGCGAAAGCCUGAUCCAGCAAUACCGCGUGUGUGAAGAAGGCCUGAGGGUUGUAAAGCACUUUCAAUGGGAAGGAAUACCUACCGGCUAAUACCCGGUAGACUGACAUUACCCAUACAAGAAGCACCGGCUAACUCCGUGCCAGCAGCCGCGGUAAUACGGAGGGUGCAUGCGUUAAUCGGAAUUACGCGGCGUCGAGCGGUUGAAGGCGAUGUGAAAGCCCUGGGCUUAACCUGGGAACUGCAUUUGAUACUGGCAGGCUAGAGUUUAGUAGAGGGGAGUGGAAUUUCAGGUGUAGCGGUGAAAUGCGUAGAGAUCUGAAGGAACACCAGUGGCGAAGGCGGCUCCCUGGACUAAAACUGACGCUGAGGUACGAAAGCGUGGGUAGCAAACAGGAUUAGAUACCCCAGUAGUC